rnacentral:rRNA from 1 species
UUAAAAAGCUCGUAGUUGGAUUUCUGCUGAGGACGACCGGUCCGCCCACUGGGUGUGCAUCUGGCUCGGCCUUGGCAUCUUCUUGGAGAACGUAUCUGCACUUCAUUGUGUGGUGCGGUAACCAGGACCUUUACUUUGAGGAAAUUAGAGUGUUUCAAGCAGGCGUGCGCCUUGAAUACAUUAGCAUGGAAUAAUAAGAUAGGACCUUAGUUCUAUUUUGUUGGUUUCUAGAGCUGGGGUAAAGAUUAAUAGGGAUAGUUGGGGGNAUUCGUAUUUAACUGUCAGAAGUGAAAUUCUUGGAUUUGUUAAAGACGGACUACUGCGAAAGCAUUUGCCAAGGAUGUUUUCAUUGAUCAAGAACGAAAGUUAGGGGAUCGAAGACGA